AACGCGAAGAACCUUACCUAGGUUUGACAUGCAUGAAACUUUGGAAACAGGAAGCCUUGGAACAGAUGCACAGGUGCUGCAUGGCUGGAGCGUGGUGAGAUGUUGGGUUAAGCCGCAACGAGCGCAACCCUUGCCCCGUGUUACUAACAGGUAAAGCUGAGGACGGGGGACUGCCGGCGAAGCCGGAGGAAGGUGAGGACGACGAAGAAUGGCCCUUACGCCUAGGGCGACACACGUGCUACAAUGGCGAGGACAGAGGGCAGCAAAGCGGCAACGUGGAGCGAACCAGAAACCGUAAGUGGAUUGUGGGCUGCAACGCCCACAUGAAGCCGGAAGCUAGUAAGCGGAAGCCAUGCCGCGGUGAAUACGUCCGGGUUGUACACACCG
rnacentral:rRNA from 1 species